GACGAACGCUGGCGGCGUGCUUAACACAUGCAAGUCGAACGAUGAAGCCUAGCUUGCUAGGUGGAUUAGUGGCGAACGGGUGAGUAAUACGUGAGUAACCUACCUUUAACUCUGGGAUAAGCCCGGGAAACUGGGUCUAAUACCGGAUACGACCAAUCUCCGCAUGGGGUGUUGGUGGAAAGCGUUAUGUAGUGGUUAUAGAUGGGCUCACGGCCUAUCAGCUUGUUGGUGAGGUAACGGCUCACCAAGGCGACGACGGGUAGCCGGCCUGAGAGGGUGACCGGCCACACUGGGACUGAGAGACGGCGCAGACUCCUACGGGAGGCAGCAGUGGGGAAUAUUGCACAAUGGGCGCAAGCCUGAUGCAGCGACGCCGCGUGAGGGAUGACGGCCUUCGGGGUGUAAACCUCUGUUAGCAGGGAAGAAGAGAGAUUGACGGUACCUGCAGAGAAAGCGCCGGCUAACUACGUG
rnacentral:rRNA from 1 species